UGAUCAUAUUCAAUAUCGAAUCGAUUUUUUUUAAAGAAAUUCUAAGUAGGACAUAGCAAGCGAAUUUCCCCCCAAAAUGGAUCCGAGUUGAAUCGUUAUGAAUUGAGCCAUCAGCGUGGAAACAAGUCGAAAAUAGAGUUCCAACUCCAGCAUCCCAGUGUUCCAGACUUCAGCGCCACCCCUUUCUUAGUGGAAACUCGAAGCCCCAAAAUUCCAAUUUGAGUUUCCAUUCAUUCUAUUCUUUUCUAAUCCCCCAUUCCUACAAAUGGCCUCUUCAAGUUUCAGCAAUAACAGUAUCUCAAUCUCGGUCUCGGAUGAUGAUCCCGAUGAAUUUGGCCGAAAACGAGUCCGAACCCGGAGGAAACGCAAGAAACACGGUCAUCGCCGAAUCAGGAACGAGUUGAAUCAGCUCCUCAUCCGUUUGUUCGUCAAAUACUGGAUGCUCCUCGUAUUCCUUCCGGCCGCGGUGCUGAUCAUUUUCGAGGUCACUAGCGUCGGUAGAAAACCUGUGUUGGUCGUCAACUCGGAAAUUAAUGAAGUGAAAAGACCCAAUUUGAUGGGUAACCCAGAACUUACUAAACCGAAGGAAGCGACUCAAGGAAAGAAACUCGACAGCAAAUUGAACCGGCUCGAUCCAAUCACUCAUGUUGUCGGUGGUGUUAGAGAACCUUGCUUGAAGCUCUUACCAGCUGAGGAACUUCAGCAUCUGGAUAUUUCAGAAGAUGAAGAAUCUACUAUUAGUAGUCCUGUUAAAAGAUUGGUGUAUAUCUCAGACCAUCAAACGCCUCAUGGCCAUGGUGGGGGGGACUCUACCUUAUCUUUGCAGCGUACAAAUGUCACUCGGUUUAAUUUAUUCACUGGGAACCAAACCUUUGAUGAGAGAGAGAAAAGCUUUAAGGUGAGUGGAACUGUUGUUCUACACUGUGGUUUUUUUAGUGAAAAUGGUGGUUUUGCAAUAUCUGAUAGAGACAAGAGUUAUAUGCAAACUUGCAAACUUGUGGCUUCUACUUGUGCUUUUGGAGGUGGAGAUGAUCUUUAUCAGCCUAUAGGAAUGUCAGAGGCAUCUCUCAAAAAGGUUUGUUAUGUUGCAUUUUGGGAUGAAAUUACUCUUGCAGCACAGGAAUCGCAGGGUAAUAAAAUUGGCGAGGAUGGGCUGAUUGGAAAAUGGCGUAUUGUGAUUGUACGGAAUCUGCCUUUUGUAGACCAGAGGUUGAAUGGGAAAAUUCCAAAGAUGUUGCCGCAUCGUCUUUUUCCUCAUGCAAAGUACUCUAUUUGGGUAGACUCGAAAUCCCAAUUCAGGAGGGAUCCUUUAGGUGUAGUGGAGGCUCUUCUUUGGCGUAGGAAUUCAGUUCUUGCAAUUUCGGAGCAUGGAGCUCGUAGUAGUGUCUAUGACGAGGCAAAGGCUGUUGUCCUUAAACACAAAGCUACACCAGUGGAAGUUGAGGUUCAAAUGACUCAGUAUCGUAAGGAUGGUCUUCCCGAGGACAAGAGAUUUAAUGGAAAGAAAGGUUUGCAUUCUUGCCCAUCUGCAGCCCAACUGAGCUUGGUGGCAUUAAGGUCAACCAUUUCGAAAUAAUUAGACCUCUAAAACGUCAGAAGCCAGUAACUGAAAAGGGUGCACUAGAACAUUUGAUUUGAUUCUUACGCAGUGGGGGGAAAUUUUGCUGAAAGAAAGGGGACAAACUGCUUGGACUGCUCUGAAUGAAGCCUCUGUCAUUGUGAGGAAACAUACACCUUUGACUAAUAUGUUCAUGUGCCUCUGGUUUAAUGAGGUGGUUCGCUUCACUUCAAGGGACCAAUUA